GAGUUUGAUCAUGGCUCAGAACGAACGCUGGCGGCAUGCCUAACACAUGCAAGUCGAACGAGACCUUCGGGUCUAGUGGCGCACGGGUGCGUAACGCGUGGGAAUCUGCCCUUGGGUUCGGAAUAACAGUGAGAAAUUACUGCUAAUACCGGAUGAUGUCUUCGGACCCAAAGAUUUAUCGCCCAAGGAUGAGCCCGCGUAGGAUUAGCUAGUUGGUGGGGUAAUGGCCUACCAAGGCGACGAUCCUUAGCUGGUCGUGAGAGGAUGAUCAGCCACACCUGGGACUGAGACACGGCCCAGACUCCUACGGGAGGCAGCAGUGGGGAAUCUUGGACAAUGGGCGCAAGCCUGAUCCAGCCAUGCCGCGUGGAUGAUGAAGGCCUUAGGGUUGUAAAAUCCUUUCGUCAGGGACGAUAAUGACGGUACCUGAAGAAGAAGCCCCGGCUAACUUCGUGCCAGCAGCCGCGGUAAC
rnacentral:rRNA from 1 species